GACUCCCCGGGAUAACAGGCCGAAAGGCCUGCUAAUACCGGGUAAGCUCACGGAGUCGCAUGGCUUUGGGAGAAAAAGCCCUGCAAGGGGUUGGGGUCAGAGGGGUCCGCGGUCCAUUACCUAGUUGGAGGGGUAACGGCCCACCAAGGCGACGAUGGAUAGCCGGCCUGAGAGGGCGACCGGCCACACUGGGACUGAGACACGGCCCAGACUCCUACGGGAGGCAGCAGUCGGGAAUUUUGGGCAAUGGCCGAAAGGGCUGACCCAGCAACGCCGCGUGAGUGAAGAAGGCCUUCGGGUUGUAAAGCUCUGUUGCCCGUGAAGAACGGUGCUUUUAGGAAAUGGGAAGCACUUGACGGUAGCGGGUGAGGAAGCCCCGGCUAACUACUCGCCAGCAGCCGCGGUAAUACGUAGGGGGCGAGCGUUGUCCGGAUUUAUUGGGCGUAAAGGGCGUGUAGGCGGCUUGUUAAGUCGGGGGUGAAACUCCGCAGCUCAACUGCGGACCUGCCUCCAAUACUGGCGAGCUUGAUUACUCUAAAGGGCAGUGGAAUUCCCGGUGUACCAUUGAAAUGCGUAAAGAUCGGGAGGAACACCAGUGGCGAAGGCGGCUGCCUGGGGAGAAACUGACGCUGAGGCGCGAAAGCUGGGGGAGCAAACGGGAUUAGAUACCCCGGUAGUCCCAGCCGUAAACGAUGAGUGCUAGGUGUAGGGGGUAUCGACCCCCUCCUGUGCCGCAGUUAACGCAAUAAGCACUCCGCCUGGGGAGUACGGCCGCAAGGUUGAAACUCAAAGGAAUUGACGGGGGCCCGCACAAGCAGCGGAGCAUGUGGUUUAAUUCGAAGCAACGCGUAGAACCUUACCAGGGCUUGACAUGUAGCGAACCCGCCAGAGAUGGUGGGGUGCUCCUUCGGGAGAGCGCUAACACAGGUGGUGCAUGGUUGUCGUCAGCUCGUGUCGUGAGAUGUUGGGUUAAGUCCCGCAACGAGCGCAACCCUUGCUGUAUGUUGCCAACGGAUGAUGCCGGGCACUCAUACAGGACUGCCGGUGACAAACCGGAGGAAGGUGGGGAUGACGUCAAAUCAUCAUGCCCCUUAUGUCCUGGGCGACACACGUGCUACAAUGGGCGCGACCCCCAAUUGUCCGUGCACAUUGCGAGUUUAGCGUGUACGGACAAUUGGGGGUCGAACAAAGCGAACCGAAACCGCGAGGUGGAGGAAACCGCAAAAGGCGCUCGUAGUUCAGAUCGCAGGCUGCAACUCGCUUGCGUGAAGCCGGAGUUGCUAGUAAUCGCUGAUCAGCACGCAGCGGUGAAUACGUUCCCGGGCCUUGUACACACCGCCCGUCACACCAUGGGAGCUGGUAACACCCGAAGUCGGUGAGCUAACACGCAA
rnacentral:rRNA from 1 species